rnacentral:rRNA from 1 species
UACGAAGGGGGCUAGCGUUGUUCGGAAUCACUGGGCGUAAAGCGCACGUAGGCGGAUUGUUAAGUCGGGGGUGAAAUCCUGAGGCUCAACCUCAGAACUGCCUUCGAUACUGGCGAUCUUGAGUCCGGAAGAGGUUGGUGGAACAGCUAGUGUAGAGGUGAAAUUCGUAGAUAUUAGCUAGAACACCAGUGGCGAAGGCGGCCAACUGGUCCGGAACUGACGCUGAGGUGCGAAAGCGUGGGGAGCAAAAGGG